GCAGGGGAUCUUCGGACCUUGCGCUAAUAGAUGAGCCUAAGUCGGAUUAGCUAGUUGGUGGGGUAAAGGCCUACCAAGGCGACGAUCUGUAGCGGGUCUGAGAGGAUGAUCCGCCACACUGGGACUGAGACACGGCCCAGACUCCUACGGGAGGCAGCAGUGGGGAAUAUUGGACAAUGGGCGGAAGCCUGAUCCAGCCAUGCCGCGUGUGUGAAGAAGGCCUUUUGGUUGUAAAGCACUUUAAGCGAGGAGGAGGCUCCUUUAGUUAAUACCUAAAGAGAGUGGACGUUACUCGCAGAAUAAGCACCGGCUAACUCUGUGCCAGCAGCCGCGGUAAUACAGAGGGUGCGAGCGUUAAUCGGAUUUACUGGGCGUAAAGCGUGCGUAGGCGGCUUUUUAAGUCGGAUGUGAAAUCCCUGAGCUUAACUUAGGAAUUGCAUUCGAUACUGGGGAGCUAGAGUAUGGGAGAGGAUGGUAGAAUUCCAGGUGUAGCGGUGAAAUGCGUAGAGAUCUNGGAGGAAUACCGAUGGCGAAGGCAGCCAUCUGGCCUAAUACUGACGCUGAGGUACGAAAGCAUGGGGAGCAAACAGGAUUAGAUACCCUGGUGGUCCAUGCCGUAAACGAUGUCUACUAGCCGUUGGGGCCUUUGAGGCUUUAGUGGCGCAGCUAACGCGAUAAGUAGACCGCCUGGGGAGUACGGUCGCAAGACUAAAACUCAAAUGAAUUGACGGGGGCCCGCACAAGCGGCGGAGCAUGUGGUUUAAUUCGAUGCAACGCGAAGAACCUUACCUGGCCUUGACAUACUAAGAACUUUCCAGAGAUGGAUUGGUGCCUUCGGGAACUUAGAUACAGGUGCUGCAUGGCUGUCGUCAGCUCGUGUCGUGAGAUGUUGGGUUAAGUCCCGCAACGAGCGCAACCCUUUUCCUUAUUUGCCAUCGGGUAAUGCCGGGAACUUUAAGGAUACUGCCAGUGACAAACUGGAGGAAGGCGGGGACGACGUCAAGUCAUCAUGGCCCUUACGGCCAGGGCUACACACGUGCUACAAUGGUCGGUACAAAGGGUUGCUACCUCGCGAGAGGAUGCUAAUCUCAAAAAGCCGAUCGUAGUCCGGAUCGCAGUCUGCAACUCGACUGCGUGAAGUCGGAAUCGCUAGUAAUCGCGGAUCAGAAUGCCGCGGUGAAUACGUUCCCGGGCCUUGUACACACCGCCCGUCACACCAUGGGAGUUUGUUGCACCAGAAGUAGGUAGUCUAACCGCAAGGAGGACGCUUA
rnacentral:rRNA from 1 species